rnacentral:rRNA from 1 species
AUUCCAGCUCCAAUAGCGUAUAUUAAUGUUGUUGCAGUUAAAAAGCUCGUAGUCGGAUUUUUGUGUCAUGUCGAACUGUCUGCCGAUUGGUUUGUACGGUUUGACGGGCAUAUUCCUUCCAGAGGCUCCGUGAGGCCUUCAUUGGUUUCGCGGUUGAAUCUGGGUCUUUUACUUUGAAAAAAUUAGAGUGUUCAAAGCAGGCCUAUGCUCGAAUAGGUUAGCAUGGAAUAAUAGAAUAGGACUUCGGUCUUAUUUUGUUGGUUUCUAGGACCGAAGUAAUGAUUAACAGGGACAGUUGGGGGCAUUCAUAUUCCAUUGUCAGAGGUGAAAUUCUUGGAUUAACGGAAGAUGAACUUCUGCGAAAGCAUCUGCCAAGGAUGUUUUCAUCA